rnacentral:lncRNA from 1 species
CCAUAUACAUUACUGAUCAACCACUGGUCUGAAGACCCCAUAAAAGAAAAGGUGAUCGACAUGCACCUAAAAGAGACGGAGAAAAUGGAACCUUAACAAGAGAGGGAUCCCAAAUUACAAGUAGGCCACCAGAUUCACCAACAAAAACUGAUAAAAGAAAAUCUAAGGGGGUAGAGCCCCAAAAAGAGCAAAGAAGAGACAUCAGGGGAGAGAAGGUUGGUUUCCUGAAGAACUAAAAUUUGCAACUUAUGGAUUAAAUCUCUUCUCCUCAAAGUUCCCCCAGGCCUCUAACAUUCUAUGAGAUGAGUUUCACGAGGACGUGAAGUCCUUACCCCCUGGUGACCAUAGUGACUCCGGAGGAGCCAACAAUAAGGGGUCAAAUGAAACCUUGGCAACUAGAGCUUCAGCCUCUUUCUCCGGACGAGAGCGAACGCGCUGUGGCAUAGGGAGGGCCGACCACUCUACCUCAGCAACAUCAAGAGCUUCCUCCACAACCUUAAGAGUGCCUUUGUACUGAAAUCCCAUAGCAUUGAUCAAAUGGCCCAUUUUCUCUCGAAUAACUUUCAUCUUCUCAUCUUUGCUAGGGAGCUAGUUGCGAGUGCGGGGAAGAAGAAUCGGAGGACUCAGUUAUGAGAAGGGGAGGGAUGUAAGGGGAGAAGGCGAUAAAGAGAGUUUUUGGGAGGUCAAAGGCUUUGGCCUCAGUAGAUAGCAUAGAGACACAAUAAUGUGGCCCCAUGCACGACUUUUAUCCCAUUCAAAGAAAGUCAUUUUGGCUGUCCCGUCGAGAAUCUCUAGAGCGAAAGUCAGAUGAAUAAUAUCAAUGGUUCUGUUCUUGGGAUAGUUCAGUGAUGGUGAUGCUUUGGGGGGCCUUGGAAGGGGGAGGAUUGACUGUUCGGUUGGCAAAGGAGACGGAAGCAGCAGAAAAACGAAAGAACCAGAGAAGAUUUUUUGGGGCUUCCUCUUUCGAAGAACUACUAUUUAAAGGAAAAAGGUGAGGACAUGACAUACGUACCUUUAGGAAGUGAGUCCCUCGGUGGGCGAUAGAUAGCAGCUUCUUGGGAUGCGAAGAAGGCAACCUCGUCAUUAGAUCAAACCUUGAAGGCUUGAGUGUUUCCACAUAGCACGAUGGCUUGGACCUUCUUAAAAUACCCACUGAAGAAUCUACCGGAUGGGCUGCAAAAGAUCUCGAAGCUCAUAACCUAGAGGAAUAUGAAUCGUCUCACCUGUAGGAUGAACAGGUGGAAGGCUGGAUUUG